CGCGCAAACAUAAACAUACACGGAGCGCCAACAGACCAACAUGCCACAGUGACUGACCAACAACACGGUAUUUACCAACAACACAAGCUUCAGGGCCAGUGUGACAAAUCAUGCAGCGCAGCGCAAAGCGGUUCACGUCUGUGAACUGGCGCUUGCGACGAGCCUCGUCAGCCAGCUCCAACGCCUGCGCCAGGAUGACAUCUUCAGACGUUGAGAAGAUGGUCUGUGGCGGGCAAUCUGUUCCAGCAGUGAAAGCUGGAGAAGCAGAAGCGAAAUGAGAGGAAAUCAUACCAAGACAAACUCAGCAAGGAUGCCAGGAACCGUUAUUUGGAUAAAUGAUCAUCUGUUAACAGCAUUGAUAAGCUAAGUUGGUUGUGAGCGUGUGGAACAGCGACCAUGUUGCACUUGUAGUGGUAAAUGUUUGUAUUAUGUUGCUUAUUUUGCACAAAGAGUUUUUAGUUUUUUGUCUGUGUCUAUUUACAAGUACAAAUAAAGUACAUAUAUUUAAAUUUUA